rnacentral:rRNA from 1 species
UACGUAGGAGGCGAGCGUUGUCCGGAAUUACUGGGCGUAAAGCGUGCGCAGGCGGUGCGCCAAGCCAGAUGUGAAAGCCCCGGGCUUAACCUGGGAAUGGCAUUUGGGACUGCAAGGCUGGAGUGUGGCAGAGGAGACUGGAAUUCCUGGUGUAGCAGUGAAAUGCGUAGAUAUCAGGAGGAAUACCGAUGGCGAAGGCAGGUCUCUGGGCUAACACUGACGCUCAUGCACGAAAGCGUGGGGAGCAAACAGG